GAGUUUGAUCCUGGCUCAGGAUGAACGCUGGCGGCGUGCCUAAUACAUGCAAGUCGAGCGAACGGACGAGAAGCUUGCUUCUCUGAUGUUAGCGGCGGACGGGUGAGUAACACGUGGAUAACCUACCUAUAAGACUGGGAUAACUUCGGGAAACCGGAGCUAAUACCGGAUAAUAUUUUGAACCGCAUGGUUCAAAAGUGAAAGACGGUCUUGCUGUCACUUAUAGAUGGAUCCGCGCUGCAUUAGCUAGUUGGUAAGGUAACGGCUUACCAAGGCAACGAUGCAUAGCCGACCUGAGAGGGUGAUCGGCCACACUGGAACUGAGACACGGUCCAGACUCCUACGGGAGGCAGCAGUAGGGAAUCUUCCGCAAUGGGCGAAAGCCUGACGGAGCAACGCCGCGUGAGUGAUGAAGGUCUUCGGAUCGUAAAACUCUGUUAUUAGGGAAGAACAUAUGUGUAAGUAACUGUGCACAUCUUGACGGUACCUAAUCAGAAAGCCACGGCUAACUACGUGCCAGCAGCCGCGGUAAUACGUAGGUGGCAAGCGUUAUCCGGAAUUAUUGGGCGUAAAGCGCGCGUAGGCGGUUUUUUAAGUCUGAUGUGAAAGCCCACGGCUCAACCGUGGAGGGUCAUUGGAAACUGGAAAACUUGAGUGCAGAAGAGGAAAGUGGAAUUCCAUGUGUAGCGGUGAAAUGCGCAGAGAUAUGGAGGAACACCAGUGGCGAAGGCGACUUUCUGGUCUGUAACUGACGCUGAUGUGCGAAAGCGUGGGGAUCAAACAGGAUUAGAUACCCUGGUAGUCCACGCCGUAAACGAUGAGUGCUAAGUGUUAGGGGGUUUCCGCCCCUUAGUGCUGCAGCUAACGCAUUAAGCACUCCGCCUGGGGAGUACGACCGCAAGGUUGAAACUCAAAGGAAUUGACGGGGACCCGCACAAGCGGUGGAGCAUGUGGUUUAAUUCGAAGCAACGCGAAGAACCUUACCAAAUCUUGACAUCCUUUGACAACUCUAGAGAUAGAGCCUUCCCCUUCGGGGGACAAAGUGACAGGUGGUGCAUGGUUGUCGUCAGCUCGUGUCGUGAGAUGUUGGGUUAAGUCCCGCAACGAGCGCAACCCUUAAGCUUAGUUGCCAUCAUUAAGUUGGGCACUCUAAGUUGACUGCCGGUGACAAACCGGAGGAAGGUGGGGAUGACGUCAAAUCAUCAUGCCCCUUAUGAUUUGGGCUACACACGUGCUACAAUGGACAAUACAAAGGGCAGCGAAACCGCGAGGUCAAGCAAAUCCCAUAAAGUUGUUCUCAGUUCGGAUUGUAGUCUGCAACUCGACUACAUGAAGCUGGAAUCGCUAGUAAUCGUAGAUCAGCAUGCUACGGUGAAUACGUUCCCGGGUCUUGUACACACCGCCCGUCACACCACGAGAGUUUGUAACACCCGAAGCCGGUGGAGUAACCUUUUAGGAGCUAGCCGUCGAAGGUGGGACAAAUGAUUGGGGUGAAGUCGUAACAAGGUAGCCGUAUCGGAAGGUGCGGCUGGAU
rnacentral:rRNA from 1 species